UGGGGAAUUUUGGACAAUGGGCGCAAGCCUGAUCCAGCCAUGCCGCGUGCGGGAAGAAGGCCUUCGGGUUGUAAACCGCUUUUGUCAGAGAAGAAAUCUUCUGAGUUAAUACCUCGGGAGGAUGACGGUACCUGAAGAAUAAGCACCGGCUAACUACGUGCCAGCAGCCGCGGUAAUACGUAGGGUGCAAGCGUUAAUCGGAAUUACUGGGCGUAAAGCGUGCGCAGGCGGUUUUGUAAGACAGAGGUGAAAUCCCCGGGCUCAACCUGGGAACUGCCUUUGUGACUGCAAGGCUUGAGUGCGGCAGAGGGGGCAUGGAAUUCCGCGUGUAGCAGUGAAAUGCGUAGAUAUGCGGAGGAACACCGAUGGCGAAGGCAAUCCCCCUGGGCCUGCACUGACGCUCAUGCACGAAAGCGUGGGGAGCAAACAGGAUUAGAUACCCUGGUAGUCCACGCCCUAAACGAUGUCAACUGGUUGUUGGGGAAGGUUCCCUUCCUCAGUAACGUAGCUAACGCGUGAA
rnacentral:rRNA from 1 species